UAUUUUUGGUCCAUUUCUGUUCCUUCUUAAAGUACCUCUCCAUGAAAACUAUGUCCAUGAAAUAAGAACCAGUACCCAGAAUAGUAGUGCUAAGGAUAUAAAAAUUGUGAACAGUACGGAUGGCAUUGCGGAUCUCAAAGAAAAGAGCGGUUGCUCCCAAAGGUAUCAUAAAUUUGUGUUUGGUAACUUGUUUUGGAAGGUUUUUACAUGAUUUUUAAGCUCUAGUUUAGCCCUAUAUAUGGAGGAACCCUUGUACUUAAAUUAUACAAAAUUUUAGAGAAUUAAACACUAAUUCUGUCUUGGGGAUUUUCUUUAAAUUCUGGUUUGUUUGAUUCUUAUGGAAGAGAAGACUUUUCAAUAACUUCUAAAUGAAGUUCAACAUUCUAAGAUUGAUCUCUAUUUUCUUGCCUAUACUCAAGGAAUAUGGGAAUGUACUCAAUCAAUAUCAUGUUUUUGUAAUUCAAGAAUGUUAUGCUAAACUUCAUUACACUAGAAUGACGAUUUAAACAUGGUUUAAAAUUUUAAUUUAAUUUUCCCAUUUUUGACAUCAAUUCAGCUUAGGUUGAUUGUUUGCUAAAUAUUUAUCUUGUUUGAAUUAUUGAUUACCCUUUAAAUGUAUUCAUGGCUUGUAUUGUUUCCUACAAGUCUCAAAUAAGUUUAGGCACAUUUUUAGCAAACAACAUAGAAAUUAAUAAGGAAUAGAGAUAUACUCUUAAGCAUUGUGCAGUCUAUGUUUGAAUGAUAAUUGAAAUUUAAUGUGCUUGUUGAUGGUAGAAUUACGGUCAACAAAUUCCUCUCACCUAACCAUAAUUUUCUCCUCUUAUACUCUCUGAUUUUGAUGCUUAAAAUGAAGCUAGAUUUGAAAUGAAUUUUUGGGAUAGAGAUAUUUGAAUGCGCAUACGUUUCUCCUCUUAGGCAAGUAUUUAUAGAUUUUCUUAGGGGUUUUGGGUCAUUCUAGAAAAAUGACAAGUGGCAAUUGUUUAGUAGUGGGCUAAUAACUAAUUAUGUUAUGUAUUCACGUGUUAUCCAAUAGUUUAAAAAGUCAUGCCUUUUAGAUUUGCCCAUAUGUAUUAAAAUAAUGGUUUUUUUUUUUUAUUUUUUGCCAUCAUUAAGAUGGUUCACCUUGCCUCUUUUGCGAGCCAUCUUUGGUUUAGCUACCUUUGUGCUUUCAGUCUUCGCCUAGGAUUGAAUUUCCAAGAUAGACUUCUUUUUUACAUCAGCAAAUAUUUCUCAAAGUCUGAUUUUAUUAUUCAUAUUAAAUCUAGGACUUGUAUAUUUGAACUGCAAAUCUACAGAUGGCCUUAUUUGAGCAUAUCUCUCCUUGUUUGUUGUGGAUGACAUGAGCUUAUGUUGAGGGAAUGCGUGAUCAUUAUAUAUGUUUUCUCCGUGCGUUAAUGGGCCUAUUUGCAUAUUUCUAGGUGGUAACCCACAUAUGCUCAACGUAGACUAUAUGAUCUCAUCCAUUCGUUGAGAAUCUUGAUCAAGUGCCUCUUAGUAAUCAAUGGUCAUGAUUGUUCAAAAUAAUUUGAAUGGCCUUGAUUAUUUAUGGAGUGAUUAUUUCUCCCGCCAUUCAUUUUCCUUCAAAGGCCCUUUCUUAGGUCCAUGUUUUGCUUUUAUCUUGUUUUCUGUAAGCUUUUUUUAUAAUGCCUUCUCAAAAUGAUUCCCAAAAUAUGUCUUAUGAUUUUAACCUCGAGAGCUCACAGUUUAAGAAUGACUUUCCUAGUGUUUCUUCUUCUUCUUCCAUCUUCCAUAGAAGUUCUAUAUAUUGAGGCGUUACCUUAUUAUGUAGUUACUUAUUUUGGUACUUGCCUUAACCUAGAGCUUCUUAGAUAAAGGGAUAGUUCUCAUUCUAAUAUUGAGGUGCGUGACGAGGUAUGUGAAACCUUGAGUGAAUCUACAAGCCUUAAUGAGAGCGAUGAGGGAAUUUUGGGAAUUUUCUAAGCUUCGAGAACUUUUACCAAUUUUAUUGAAUAGGACUUCAGUGAAAUUCGGGAAAGUUUUAACAUUUCUUUGAUAUAUAAUUAUUGUGUCCUGGGCAGUUUCAAACUACAUAUCGCCUCCUCAUGAUUGUAUAGCAAUUAUAAACACUCAAUGUUUGUAACAUUGCUCCUACCCAACUUACUCCAAAUGGGUAAAGACCAUAUAGUUCGGUCCUUUCUGUUAUAGAGUUUAGCGUGUUUAGAGGGAGAGCUGUCCUUGGAUGGAUUUUGAUCUAUUUAUCAUCUCGUAAAUGUUGAAAAUAAAGGAAAACCUCAANCGUGUUUAGAGGGAGAGCUGUCCUUGGAUGGAUUUUGAUCUAUUUAUCAUCUCGUAAAUGUUGAAAAUAAAGGAAAACCUCAAAAUGGAUAUUACUAGCUUUCUCUAAGUUGUUCCCAAAGUUUGUAAUUACUCCUAAUAAGGUGUAUAACUGGAAUGAGACUUUUUCUUUGUUCGAGGCAAUUGGAGUUUUCAAACUAAUGAUCCCAAUCCUUCUGUUAUUAUGUCUCGAUUAUAUGGUGAAUAAAAUAAGUGUUGGUUCUCUAUUCGUUCUCCCUUUUUAUACUUUCUUUCGUAUGUUGAUUGCUAUAGGUAAGCAGCGAAGAUCCCUUAAAAGUCAAGCUUUUAUUGAGCUUUAUGCUUUAGAAGCACCUAUAUUUGGCUUGAGUUCUGAAACUCGCAAAGCUAAGAGAUUGCUACAUCCUUCUAACUAUAAUUUUAUAACAUUGGCAUUCAAACUACUAUGUAUGUGUGAGUUUAUGCUCUUAGUUUUUUCGUUUGUUAUUUUAGGUAGCUUCUAAAUUUUUCCUUUAUUUUUGUACUUCAAAUUGAUUUCAAUGUGAUUAAUUAUAUGCCCUCUAAACAUCGAAAACUUCUAGCACCUUCCUAAGCAGAAUUCAACUUUUGAAGGGCUUGAGAAGACUAGUGAUAUUCCUCCACAAAUGAUCGAGGGUAUUACAAUACAACCGUUGUCCCCAUAAGGGGCCGGGAGAGAUUUAAGUCCCCUGUUGUUACUUUUGUUCAAGUGUCUUUGCCCUUAAGGAUUAUGCUUCCAUCUUUACCGAUUUUUGUUAGGAUCCUUCCAAAGGAAAGGGAAAGGGAAAAAUGCCAAGUGUGAAAGAGCAACUUCGAGAUCCUAUUAUUUCCCAUUCUUUUAGGAAAACUAUUCCAAAUCCUGAGUCUUUGUUUCGCACCCACUUGAAUGAAGAGUUGGAUUCAAGGGUUCUUUCUAUGUUUUUCCCUUUUAUUUCUCGGACUAUAAGGUCUACUUUUACUUAUUUUAAUCAGUCUCAGUAAAGUUAGCAGGAGAGUUUAUCCAAACGCAAAUGGGAGAAAUGAUCAAUGCUCAUUUGAUGCAAGCUGUGAUAUAUCCCUAACCAGCAAGUAAAGUAUAAUUUUGUACUCUACAAGCUAAUAGCCUGGGUAAAGAGGUUCAGUCCUUGGAUGAGGUGUCAUAAUUGUAGAGAAAGAUGGAGGAUUCUGAGAAAAGGAAAGCUAAAUAUAAAUGCAUGUGCAAAAGUGUCGAGACUUAUGCUAAUAAGAAGCCUAUUCUAUUAACCGAUAUUAGGAGGCUUUCCAAAGACUUAGAACGGGCAAAAUUGUAUCAUCAAGCUUAUGCUAAAAAAAUUGACUGCAAGGUUUCUAAACUUAAAGAAGAGCGCCAAUUGGCAAAAGUCGAACAAAUCCUUGCACUUAGGAUCUUGAUAGCAUGAUGAAUGAAAUAAUCUUACUGUGUAACGACUUGGAAAGUUACAAGGCAAAACUUGCUAUUGCAGAGUCAAACCUUGAUGAAGGCCAUGCCCGUGAAGCCAAACUUAUUGAAGAGUCCAUACAGGAAAG
rnacentral:lncRNA from 1 species